rnacentral:rRNA from 3 species
UGCGUGAAACCGUUUAGAGGUAAACGGGUGGGCCCUCGAAGGUGAUCGUCGGAGGGAUUCAGUCGGACGUGACCGUAAGUGUCGUUCGUCUCUAACGGUGCGGACCUCGGUCGGCCGGGCGGGCGAUGGCUGCGGGCCGUUUGGCGCAUUUCCUUCCGUUCGAACUACGCUGCGACCAGUCUGAUCACUGAAAGUUGUCGGCCUUGAUGACGGACGACGGAAGGUGGCCGGCGGCGACUCUCGGGUUGCCGUCGGUGUUUAUAGCCAGUUCGUUUUACGAGUGCGCGUUCAUCAGACUGGGGACGAUUUUUAGCCCUGUGCGGGCUACGCCGAGCACUCCCUCGUUGGAGCGUUGCGGGGUGACUGGAUGUGCCCGCGGUUUUUGGGAGCCUCACCUUUGCGUGGACUACCGCCGCGGGUCUCCGUAAGCUCAUUCCGUACUCGCCGUUGCUCAGGUGGUCAGCAGCGAGUAGGUCGGUAACCCACCCGACCCGUCUUGAAACACGGACCAAGGAGUCUAACAUGUGCGCGAGUCAUUGGGUCUUGAUUAGGCCCAAAGGCGUAAUGAAAGUGAAGGGCGGUUCGGCCGUCUGCCUUGGGAUCCCGUGGACCUCGCGUUCGCGGGCGCACCAAGGGCCCGUCCCGGUCGCCUCGUCGACGGGGCGGAGCAAGAGCGUACACGUUGGGACCCGAAAGAUGGUGAACUAUGCCUGGGCAGGACGAAGCCAGAGGAAACUCUGGUGGAGGUCCGCAGCGAUUCUGACGUGCAAAUCGAUCGUCAGACCUGGGUAUAGGGGCGAAAGACUAAUCGAACCAUC